CCACUAGAAAGAAAAAGUGAUAUCUCAAACACCUUUUGAGAUACCUAAUAAAUGAGUUCUCUCAGAUCUAUCCUCUAACUUGUCCACCAUAUCAUAUCUUAUAUAGUGUGGUGAAACCAACUUUAGAGGAAACCUUAUUUAAAUUUCAAAAAUUAAAUCUUGUUCCUGAAGAAACAAUAGUUAAAUUACUGACGUUCAUGAUGGACCGAACCAUAUCUCAUAUAGUGCCAUCACUCCUCAC
rnacentral:lncRNA from 1 species